UAGGCAAGAACCGUGUUGUUUCCAAAACGC
rnacentral:piRNA from 1 species